UGAGGAACAUGACCUUCGGCGGGGGAUAGCCGGCCCAACGGCCGGGUAAUACCGCGUACGACCACUUUGGGACAUCCCUGGGUAGUGAAAGCAGCAAUGCGCCGAUGGAGUGCCUCGCGGCCUAUCAGCUAGUUGGUGAGGUAACGGCUCACCAAGGCGACGACGGGUAGCUGGUCUGAGAGGAUGGCCAGCCACAUUGGGACUGAGACACGGCCCAGACUCCUACGGGAGCAG
rnacentral:rRNA from 1 species